AAAGGAAUAGACGGGGGCCCGCACAAGCAGUGGAGCAUGUGGUUUAAUUCGAAGCAACGCGAAGAACCUUACCGGGGAUUGACAUCUUGUCGAACUUGGUAGAGAUACCGAGGUGCCUUCGGGAACGUCAAGACAGGUGGUGCAUGGUUGUCGUCAGCUCGUGUCGUGAGAUGUUGGGUUAAGUCCCGCAACGAGCGCAACCCCUAUGUUUAGUUGCUAACACGUAACGGUGAGCACUCUAAUCAGACUGCCGCAGAGAAUGCGGAGGAAGGUGGGGACGACGUCAAAUCCUCAUGCCCUUUAUACCCCGGGCUACACACGUGCUACAAUGGCCUGUACAGCGGGAAGCGAAGGAGCGAUCCGGAGCGAAUCUCUGAAAGCAGGUCUCAGUUCGGAUUGCAGGCUGCAACUCGCCUGCAUGAAGUCGGAAUUGCUAGUAAUCACGGAUCAUAACGUCGUGGUGAAUGCGUUCCCGGGCCUUGUACACACCGCCCGU
rnacentral:rRNA from 1 species